rnacentral:sRNA from 1 species
AUGGAGCGAGCUGAGAGCUCGAGUACAGAACCUGCUAAGGCCAUCAAACCUAUUGAUCGGAAGUCAGUCCAUCAGAUUUGCUCUGGGCAGGUUGUACUGAGUCUAAGCACUGCGGUGAAGGAGUUAGUAGAAAACAGUCUGGAUGCUGGUGCCACUAAUAUUGAUCUAAAGCUUAAGGACUAUGGAGUCGAUCUUAUUGAAGUUUCAGACAAUGGAUGUGGGGUAGAAGAAGAAAACUUUGAAGGCUUAACUCUGAAACAUCACACAUCUAAGAUUCAAGAGUUUGCCGACCUAACUCAGGUUGAAACUUUUGGCUUUCGGGGGGAAGCUCUGAGCUCACUUUGUGCACUGAGCGAUGUCACCAUUUCUACCUGCCACGCAUCGGCGAAGGUUGGAACUCGACUGAUGUUUGAUCACAAUGGGAAAAUUAUCCAGAAAACCCCCUACCCCCGCCCCAGAGGGACCACAGUCAGCGUGCAGCAGUUAUUUUCCACACUACCUGUGCGCCAUAAGGAAUUUCAAAGGAAUAUUAAGAAGGAGUAUGCCAAAAUGGUCCAGGUCUUACAUGCAUACUGUAUCAUUUCAGCAGGCAUCCGUGUAAGUUGCACCAAUCAGCUUGGACAAGGAAAACGACAGCCUGUGGUAUGCACAGGUGGAAGCCCCAGCAUAAAGGAAAAUAUUGGCUCUGUGUUUGGGCAGAAGCAGUUGCAAAGCCUGAUUCCUUUUGUUCAGCUGCCCCCUAGUGACUCCGUGUGUGAAGAGUACGGUUUGAGCUGUUCGGAUGCUCUGCAUAAUCUUUUUUACAUCUCAGGUUUCAUUUCACAAUGCGCACGUGGAGUUGGAAGGAGUUCAACAGACAGACAGUUUUUCUUUAUCAACCGGCGGCCUUGUGACCCAGCAAAGGUCUGCAGACUUGUGAAUGAGGUCUACCACAUGUAUAAUCGACACCAGUAUCCAUUUGUUGUUCUUAACAUUUCUGUUGAUUCAGAAUGUGUUGAUAUCAAUGUUACUCCAGAUAAAAGGCAAAUUUUGCUACAAGAGGAAAAGCUUUUGUUGGCAGUUUUAAAGACCUCUUUGAUAGGAAUGUUUGAUAGUGAUGUCAACAAGCUAAAUGUCAGUCAGCAGCCACUGCUGGAUGUUGAAGGUAACUUAAUAAAAAUGCAUGCAGCGGAUUUGGAAAAGCCCAUGGUAGAAAAGCAGGAUCAAUCCCCUUCAUUAAGGACUGGAGAAGAAAAAAAGGACGUGUCCAUUUCCAGACUGCGAGAGGCCUUUUCUCUUCGUCACACAACAGAGAACAAGCCUCACAGCCCAAAGACUCCAGAACCAAGAAGGAGCCCUCUAGGACAGAAAAGGGGUAUGCUGUCUUCUAGCACUUCAGAUGCCAUCUCUGACAGAGGCGUCCUGAGACCUCAGAAAGAGGCAGCGAGUUCCAGUCAGGGACCCAGUGACCCUACGGACAGAGCGGAGGUGGAGAAGGACUCGGGGCACGGCAGCACUUCCGUGGAUUCUGAGGGGUUCAGCAUCCCAGACACGGGCAGUCACUGCAGCAGCAAGUGUGUGGCCAGCACCCCAGGGGACAGGGGCUCGCAGGAACAUGUGGACUCUCAGGAGAAAGCGCCUGAAACUGACGACUGUUUUUCAGAUGUGGACUGCCAUUCAAACCAGGAAGAUACCGGGUUAAAAACUGGACCUUCGGACCCCAGGACGUCGAUGAACUGA